rnacentral:lncRNA from 1 species
CCUCUUCUAGCACGCCACCGGUGGUAACACAACCACCAACAGUGGUGGCAUCCCCUCCCACCGUAAGCACGCCGCCAGCGACAUCCCCGCCACCUCCAAUUGUAGCUCCCGUGACACCACCAGCUCCCAAGGUUGCACCAGCUUCAACUCCCACAGCCCCACCACCCCCAACUCCACCAAAAGCAUCUCCUGUCUCACCUCCCACAUCACCACCCCCACUACCGCCACCACCAGUUGCUACACCACCACCAAAGAUAGCCCCAACACCAGCCAUAACACCCCCAGCUCCUGCACCAGUAAGUGCAACACCAGCACCUGC